AUUGAACGCUGGCGGCAGGCCUAACACAUGCAAGUCGAGCGGAAACGAUCCUAGCUUGCUAGGAGGCGUCGAGCGGCGGACGGGUGAGUAACGCGUGAGAAUCUACCCAUGAGUGGGGGACAACCCGGGGAAACUCGGGCUAAUACCGCAUACGCCCUACGGGGUAAAGCAGGGGACCUUCGGGCCUUGCGCUGAUGGAUGAGCUCGCGUCGGAUUAGCUUGUUGGUGAGGUAAAGGCUCACCAAGGCGACGAUCCGUAGCUGGUCUGAGAGGAUGAUCAGCCACACCGGGACUGAGACACGGCCCGGACUCCUACGGGAGGCAGCAGUGGGGAAUCUUGGACAAUGGGGGCAACCCUGAUCCAGCCAUGCCGCGUGUGUGAAGAAGGCCUUCGGGUUGUAAAGCGCUUUCAGCAGGGAGGAAGGCUUACCCCUAAUACGGGUGAGUACUUGACGUUACCUGCAGAAGAAGCACCGGCUAAUUUCGUG
rnacentral:rRNA from 1 species